rnacentral:rRNA from 1 species
CCUACGGGAGGCAGCAGUAGGGAAUAUUGCUCAAUGGGGGAAACCCUGAAGCAGCAACGCCGCGUGGAGGAUGAAGGUUUUCGGAUUGUAAACUCCUUUUGUCAGAGAAGAUAAUGACGGUAUCUAACGAAUAAGCACCGGCUAACUCCGUGCCAGCAGCCGCGGUAAUACGGAGGGUGCAAGCGUUACUCGGAAUCACUGGGCGUAAAGAGCGCGUAGGCGGGAUGGCAAGUCGGAUGUGAAAUCCUUUGGCUUAACCAUAGAACUGCAUUUGAAACUGUUAGUCUAGAGUGUGGGAGAGGAGAGUGGAAUUCUGGGGGUAGGGGGGAAAGCCGGAGAUAGCAGGAGGAAAAUCAGGGGAGAAGGCGACUGGCUGGACAAUAACUGAUGCUGAGGCGCGAAAGUGUGGGGAGAAAACAGGAUUAGAUACCCGAGUAGUC